GACAGAGGGUGCAAACGUUGCUCGGAAUCACUGGGCGUAAAGGGCGUGUAGGCGGGAAGGAAAGUCAGAUGUGAAAUCCCCAGGCUCAACCUGGGAACUGCAUUUGAAACUCCCUUUCUUGAGUACCGGAGAGGAAAGUGGAAUUCCUGGUGUAGAGGUGAAAUUCGUAGAUAUCAGGAGGAACACCAGUGGCGAAGGCGGCUUUCUGGACGGUAACUGACGCUGAGACGCGAAAGCGUGGGGAGGCGAACAGG
rnacentral:rRNA from 1 species